GCGUCUGAAUCUUACCCAGUCCUUAUGCUGGACUGGGGAGCAAUGAUGGAAAGCAGAGGGAGUCCAGACAAGCUCCCUUGCACCACAGUGGGACUGGUCUCUACACCUUUGCAACACUU
rfam:Chaetura pelagica isolate M959 contig42986, whole genome shotgun sequence.